rnacentral:lncRNA from 1 species
UUGACCCAAUCAGUGUAAUCAGGCAUAGCAACGGCGAACUUCUUCCCUAAGACAGAUCCAUCCUUCACACCAAUAGACUUCCAAGCUCUCCCUAUCUGCUCCAAUCUGGCCGGGUCACUCUGCUUCUCAAAAUACACACUUUCAGCUACCUCAGCCUCAAGUGGUCUUCCCUUCAUCACAAACCCCAACUGGCGAAGAGAAAGAACCGGGUUGUAAUUGAUGCAACCCCUAGUCC